GGCAAGUUCACCGGGUGGUUGAAUGCCUUUGUAUUAAUCUUGCUUUUCUCCGCACACAGAGCCCAUGUUUCCAAUUCCUGCCUAUAUCUCCAAGUCUUCUGUGGUAGCAAGUCUACAUCUGCCCCUCUGGCUUCUACUUGCUGAGGAAUCCAACUUUAUUGUUUUUGUUUUUUGUUUUUUUGUGACAUGCUUGUAACUGCUACCUGGCCACUGACUGUUGCCUGACUGUCAAAAUAGACCCUGAAUCUCUGCACUUCCAAGCGAUGGAAUUAAGAAGAAUAGAGUAGAACGGGGGCGUUCAGGACUACGGGAGGAACAAGUUCCUGAAAUAGCAGCUUAUGUUUAACGUCUGGAAGGAACUGAGUAUUGGACCUUCAAGGCCUCAGCGCACAGCGGCGGCGUUGGACAUCAGGAAUGUGUGGACUGCUACUGAGCUAUACUAUUCUCAGGCCUUUGAGAGAGGAUCUCCUGCAGCCCAGACUGACUUCUGACUUGCUCCACAGCUGAAGAUGACCUUGCCCCUUCUGUCUUUACCUCACAAGUGCUGUGGUUUCAGGGUUGUGUACUUGGAUUAUCCUUGUCUGUGGAAGAAGGAGGAAGGCUCUGUGGAGCAAGAAGAAGAUGGAUGUGUUCUCGGUCGGUUUCACUGUUAUGCAGCCAGGCUU